UACGAAGGGGCUAGCGUUGCUCGGAAUUACUGGGCGUAAAGGGCGCGUAGGCGGAUAGUUCAGUCGGGGGUGAAAGCCCGGGCUCAACCUCGGAACUGCCUUCGAUACUGGCUAUCUUGAGUACGGGAGAGGUGUGUGGAACUCCGAGUGUAGAGGUGAAAUUCGUAGAUAUUCGGAAGAACACCAGUGGCGAAGGCGACUUACUGGACACAUAUUGACGCUGAGGUGCGAAAGCGUGGGGAGCAAACAGG
rnacentral:rRNA from 1 species